rnacentral:rRNA from 1 species
AUUGAACGCUGGCGGCAGGCCUAACACAUGCAAGUCGAACGGUAACAGGAAGCAGCUUGCUGCUUCGCUGACGAGUGGCGGACGGGUGAGUAAUGUCUGUGACACUGCCUGAUGGAGGGGGAUAACUACUGGAAACGGUAGCUAAUACCGCAUAACGUCGCAAGACCAAAGAGGGGGACCUUAGGGCCUCUUGCCAUCGGAUGUGCCCAGAUGGGAUUAGCUAGUAGGUGGGGUAACGGCUCACCUAGGCGACGAUCCCUAGCUGGUCUGAGAGGAUGACCAGCCACACUGGAACUGAGACACGGUCCAGACUCCUACGGGAGGCAGCAGUGGGGAAUAUUGCACAAUGGGCGCAAGCCUGAUGCAGCCAUGCCGCGUGUAUGAAGAAGGCCUUCGGGUUGUAAAGUACUUUCAGCGGGGAGGAAGGGAGUAAAGUUAAUACCUUGGCUCAUUGACGUUACCCGCAGAAGAAGCACCGGCUAACUCCGUG